rnacentral:rRNA from 1 species
UAGAUACCCUGGUAGUCCACGCCGUAAACGAUGUCUACUAGUCGUUGGGUCCCUUGAGGACUUAGUGACGCAGCUAACGCAAUAAGUAGACCGCCUGGGGAGUACGGCCGCAAGGUUAAAACUCAAAUGAAUUGACGGGGGCCCGCACAAGCGGUGGAGCAUGUGGUUUAAUUCGAUGCAACGCGAAGAACCUUACCUGGUCUUGACAUAUCUAGAAUCCUGCAGAGAUGCGGGAGUGCCUUCGGGAAUU